AGUCCUUCACCUAGUUGGAAUUGACAGUUGAGAUCCUGUGUUCUCCUCUGUAGGUGUAGAUCAGGACGUUCUCCUGAUCCCUGAGAGUUUUGACCUAUGACCUGGCCGUGAUGGGCCUCUGCAGGGCCGUGUUCAGCAUCCUGUUGCUUGACUCCAGACUGACCGGCUCCAAAGUACACUACUAUCAGAAAUGGACAUGUCUAGAGUUGAAGCCGGGAUUCAUCCGUGAAGAGCACACUUCGCCAGUGUACCAGUGGCUAUCUAAUGUGAGCAUUUGCCCCCUGAAGUCGGUCGCGACGCCAAACUGCAGUCAUGUCAAGAACCUGGUGAAGACGACGAGCACGCAGGUGGAUGGAUUAUCUUGGCAAACGAGAAAUGCUCCCUAACAGGCCCAGGCAUGGAUCAAAGCUGGUGAGACAUUCAAUGACGUCAUCUUCACAGACGAAUCAACUGUGGCCCUUCAGCAAUUUGCUCAAAAUUGCUACAGAAAAAAAGGAAGAAGAUCAAGCAUCCCUCAAACUCUAUGUGUGGGGGGCAAUUUCUCGCCAGGGACCAGGCCCAUAUUAGCUUACUGUCACGUUCUGACCUUAGUUCCUUUGUUUUCUCUUUUGUUUUAGUAUGGUCAGGGUGUGAGUUGGGUGGGUAGUCUAUGUUAGUUUUUCUAUGAUUUUCUAUUUCUGUGUUUGGCCUGGUAUGGUUCUCAAUCAGAGCAGCUGUCAAUCGUUGUCCCUGAUUGAGAACCAUAUUUAGGUAGCCUGUGUCAUGCCUUGGUCUUAGUAUUUUGUGUUUUCUUUAGUUAUUUGGUCAGGCCAGGGUGUGACAUGGGUUUAUUGUGUUGUCGUAUUGGGGUUUUAGUAGGCAUUGGGAUUGUGGCUGAAUAGGGGUGUCUAGCAUAGGCUAUGGCUGCCUGAGGCGGUUCUCAAUCAGAGUCAGGUGAUUCUCGUUGUCUCUGAUUGGGAACCAUAUUUAGGUAGCCUGGGUUUCACUGUGUGUUUUGUGGGUGAUUGUUCCUGUCUCAGUGUGUUUGUAUUUUCACCAGAUAGGCUGUAUAGGUUUUCACGGUCCGGUUCUUGUUUUUGUAUUUAUCGUGUUUAUUCUUUCAUUAAACAUGUAUCG